AAAUUCCUGAGGUGAGCGAUAACUUUGCCAAUUUUGAACCUACAUUUUGAUUUAUGGGAUUCCAAAUAACCUUCGAUGGAUGUCAAGCUUCUAUAGGUAGAAGGCAGAUAUCAAGGUGAGGUAACCCACCUAGCUUCGCUAGGCGUCAAUAAGCAGAGCCGUCACUUUGGGGUUUAA
rnacentral:other from 6 species